rnacentral:tRNA from 1 species
AAGGGAGACCUAAUUCAGGUAGGAGACGAAAAAAAAGUAGUCGCUACCAAGAAUCAAUCCCAAAAGGUCGGAGCGAGGCGAAAUUGGCUUUCAAACUAGGUUCUGGGUUCAAACAAGACCUGAAUCAGGAACAAGGGCUAUUAGCUCAGGUGGUUAGAGCGCACCCCUGAUAAGGGUGAGGUCCCUGGUUCGAGUCCAGGAUGGCCCACCUGCACAGGUGGCAAAAACAAGAGAAGCGAGGAAUCAGCACCUUAUCUUAUCUAUAUAUAAGAGAGAAUGCUGGCUCUGAGUAAAGAGUCCAGAGGAACCUUGAAAACUGCAUAGAGCUAGGUGAAAAAGCCAAAAAAGAAGACCGCAA